rnacentral:misc_RNA from 1 species
GAACAUAUCCAUUGUUGUCUCCGUGUUGAACUACUCAAACUCAGUUAAACAUGGUAACGCCAAGACCCAAAAUAAUGCAGAGUGAAAGAUUAAAAGCAUAAGAACACAACAAAGAAAUCGCUAGCAACAUGAAACAUGAUCAAAUAGUAAGUCUUUUUUUCGCAAAUUGCAGAAGAAAGACGUAAACAGCUUCAAUUUCAGUUACCAAAUACACCUGAAUACAUUACAGCAAAAAUCUUAUUUUUCAAUCUCCAUUGCUUGUGCAGCUUUAGCUUUGGCUAAUGGAGUCAUCCUCGUCUUCAAUUUUUUCUUCCCAACUUGAAAUCCAUUACCACCUUUCUUCUUCUUGUCCUUACCAUCCACCUUCAUCUUGUUCUUUUUUGCUUGUAGCUUCUUCGCUAGUUUUUCUUUCUCUUCUUUCUCCCCUGUAAUUUCAACAUCAAUCAAAAAUUAGUAUCAUAUCGAGACUGUAGCAACGCAUAACAUUCAAGAGAAAGAAUUAUACUCCGAAGAUUGAACUCGUGCUGUUUUUUCCGGCGACCCAAAUCGUUUUUCUUCGACAUUCUGGCGACGGUGGCUGCUCUUUCCGAUUUUUCUUCCUUCUUCUACCAACAAACAAUACCUCAAACCCUAGGGACCGUUUGGUUUAGAGUGUUCUUCUACAAAAUUGUGGGUCUCUUUU